UAGGGAAUCUUCGGCAAUGGACGAAAGUCUGACCGAGCAACGCCGCGCGAGUGAAGAAGGUUUUCGGAUCGUAAAACUCUGUUGUUAGAGAAGAACAAGGACGUUAGUAACUGAACGUCCCCUGACGGUAUCUAACCAGAAAGCCACGGCUAACUACGUGCCAGCAGCCGCGGUAAUACGUAGGUGGCAAGCGUUGUCCGGAUUUAUUGGGCGUAAAGCGAGCGCAGGCGGUUUCUUAAGUCUGAUGUGAAAGCCCCCGGCUCAACCGGGGAGGGUCAUUGGAAACUGGGAGGCUUGAGUGCAGAAGAGGAGAGUGGAAUUCCAUAUGUAGCGGUGAAAUGCAUAGAUAUAUGGAGGAACACCAGUGGCGAAGGCGGCUCUCUGGUCAGUAACUGACGCUGAGGCUCGAAAGGGUGGGGAGCAAACAGG
rnacentral:rRNA from 1 species